ACUCCUACGGGAGGCAGCAGUGGGGAAGUAUUGGACAAUGGGCGGCAAGCCUGAUCCAGCCAUGCCGCGUGAGUGAUGAAGGCCCGUAGGGUUGUAAAGCUCUUUCGCCUGUGAAGAUAAUGACGGUAGCAGGUAAAGAAACCCCGGCUAACUCCGUGCCAGCAGCCGCGGUAAUACGGAGGGGUUAGCGUUGUUCGGAAUUACUGGGCGUAAAGCGCACGUAGGCGGAUCGGAAAGUUGGGGUGAAAUCCCGGGGCUCAACCCCGGAACGGCCUCCAAAACUAUCGGUCUAGAGUUCGAGAGAGGUGAGUGGAAUUCCGAGUGUAGAGGUGAAAUUCGUAGAUAUUCGGAGGAACACCAGUGGCGAAGGCGGCUCACUGGCUCGAUACUGACGCUGAGGUGCGAAAGUGUGGGGAGCAAACAGGAUUAGAUACCCUGGUAGGACAGUG
rnacentral:rRNA from 1 species